AGGAACAGCAGCAUACACAGGGACCCCCCAGGACUGAGAACCCCUGAGUCACAGUACAGGAAGUAACUCGCCUAAUUCAGUCACAGUACAGGAGGUAACUUGCCUAAUUCAGUCACAGUACAGGAAGUAACUUGCCGAAUUGAGUCACAGUAUAGGAAGUAACUUGCCUAAUUCAGUCACAGUACAGGAGGUAACUUGCCUAAUUCAGUCACAGUACAGGAAGUAACUCACCUAAUUCAGUACUAAAGUUCAGCACCUACACUCAGUACCAGCACAGAAGGGAGGCGAGUGGCUGAUUACCGGGAGCAGCGCAGACCUGGGGAGCAGACCUGGGGAGCAGGGCAGCGAGGACAUGGGGAGCAGGCGUGGGGAGCAGAGCAGCACAGAUGUGGGGAGCAGCGCGGACAUGGGGAGCAGAGCAGUGCAGACGCGGGGAGCAGAGCAGACAUGGGGGGCAGUGCAGUGCAGACCUGGGGAGCAGACCUGGGGAGCAGGGCAGCGAGGACAUGGGGAGCAGGCGUGGGGAGCAGAGCAGCGUGGGGAGCAGAGCAGUGCAGACGCGGGGAGCAGCGCAGCACAGACGUGGGGAGCAGCGCAACAUGAGCAUGUCAAUCUGCAGAUUUGUGCGGCUUUUUUAUGGAGAGAUCUCCUCAGCCCAGAAAGUACCUGCAGGGUCUAAACCUGAACAUCGCCGUGCGUGCAACACUGCAGCCCUGGAGCAACCCCCACUUUCCUGCCUCUUUUCUCUUUCACGCGAGGUGGAGACGGAGAGAUUCCCGAAUCCCGACGCCUUUGUUCCCCCGCGUCGACACGCAGGGACGUGAGCGUGUUUGGGUAGAUAUCCGUUCCCAUCGGGGCUCAGCGAGCUGCUCGGUCUCUGCUGUGAUUACAGGCGUAAUGGAUUGUUUGUGUCCAUACUAAUCAAAUGCCCUUCCUGGCCUAAAUGGAUCGAUCAUGUCUCUCAAAGCUGGAUCAUACGCAGGGAUAAAUACCUCAGUCAGAUUGUAUAUUACUGUCCGGGUGGUGCCAUGUUACUUUUUUUACAAUUUACAAUGUCCGCAUGGAGAAGACUCUCAUAUACUGAUACAGCAUUGAGUACAGUGCAUAUAAUACUCCUAUCUUUUGUUUGCACGGUUUAAAGGCACUCAUUGUGGCUAUUGAUUAAAAAUGCAGUCAGAUUCAUAUUUUCAAAUAUUGCAAAAGCUGAUUCCAGUACUCUUACCUGCUGGUGUGAAUUAAAGCAAUCAUGGAGGGCUGAAGUGUGUGUAAGUACUUAUGUGAUCAGAGGUUUUGUUAAAUCCAAUAACUUAGGGAUUUGCUAAAGCAACCAUGGUCAUUGUGUGCUUCACAAACAAAUCAGCUGUAUUUGCAUAACCAUUUCCACAUAUUUCAGACAUUAAAUCUGAAGGUUAUUUUAAAAAUAUUUUUAUUUUUAUUCCCCAAUGUAAUUCUGAUUGGAGGAAAACCUUCAGUUCUGAAGAUAGCACAGUACUGCAGACGACAUGCUUAUUUCCUUUAGAGAUCCAGCAGAUUUGGAGCAGCAGGAGCAGCAGUUUCAGGUACCCAGGUGACUAGAGGAGUUGCUGUUUAUAACAGAAUAUAGUGCUGACCAAAUCCUCCCCUCCACAAGCGACAGUAAUCUACUGAUGAACAUGCUGGGACUGGGGUUAAUGCAAGCAGUAAAAACGUAUACAACACAGCAUACUACCCACGGAUAUGCUGUAUAGCCACUAACUGGAACAGUAGUCUGAAGUUAUGAAUGCGCUACGUGAUUCCAAUA